ensembl:lncRNA
UAAAAACAAGUUGUCACAACCGUUUAUCCCUGACAGACCGUAUCAUUACAAGUUCAUCAGUUACUAACUGCAUUUGUACAAGAUCAUUGUAUACGUGUCUCCCAGCUAAUCGAUGCAGCGUGGUGGAAACAACAGGAGGCCCCGGGCCCCCCGGUACAACCAGGACCAAGCCAGGCGGCAGAAUUUUACUGUCAAAGCUUUCCCAGGUAUUCCACGUGAGGGUGUCCAAAACUACUCAGAGACCAACACAAAAAGUGAGCUUAUUCAACAACUGCAUGAGGUGACAGAGGAGCUGGCCCUUGAGAAGAGCCUGAAGGAGAUGGAGAAAGCCAGGCGUGAAGAAAUGGAGAGACUCUGGAGGGCUGGUGAACCAGAGACGAUGAACACCUUUGGGAUUGCCAGUGGGGUUUGCAGCACCCUCAAAACCAAGAAGGAGAAGGAACUUCAAAUGGAAUUUGAGAACCUGCAAAUGUCUCAUAUAAUCAGGGAGCAGAAAUUCUCAGCGGAGAUCCAGCUCGAGAGAGAGAGAAAUGCAGCUCUCCGUGAAGAACUUAAACAUCUUCAGACCAACUGGAGCCAUGAAGAGGAUUUAAAGAUGAAACUCAAGAUGUCCAAGGAUCUGGCAGCCAGAAAGCAGCUAAUGGUAACCAAGGAUGAUCUGCUUCGCCACAUGAAGGUGAAGAUCCAGACUCUGAAGGACAACGCCUCUGAGAUGGAGAAGACCUUUGUUAAAGACAUUGAGGACUUGAAACACCAACAGCUCUCAAGCAACCUGGAGCAUGACACCAAGCUCCACGCUGAGGAGGAGGUCAGUCAGGGCCUCAGAACGGAACUCUGCAGACUCCUAGAAGAGCAGGAGGAAAACAUCAAAAAGAAGGACGCUCUUGAAAAGGAGGUAGUAGCAUUGCAGGACAACAUCAACACCAUGAAGGACAAUGCCACUGAGAUGGAGAAGAGCUUUCUUAAACAUGUUGAGGACUUCAAACACCAACAGGUCUCAAGCAACCUGGAGCAUGCCACCAAGCUCCACGCUGAAGAGGAAGUCAAUCAGGGCCUGAGAAUGGAACUCUGCAGACUCCAAGAAGAGCAGGAGGACAACAUCAGAGAGAAGGAAGCUCUUGAAAAGGAGGUGGUGGCAUUGCAGGACAACAUCAACGUCAGCCACAAUCUCCAGACUGACCUUGAGGAGGUGAAAGAAGAGAACCGAGUCAAUACCAGGGAACAAGAGGAGUGUGCCGUCCACGACUCACCAACCAAGGCCUAAUGUGAUUGGAUGUACCACUGUUUCCCCUAAAGGAAUAAUAUAGAUAUAUAUAAAUACAUUUAAUUGAAAUGAAAGCUGUAAGGGUCCUUUCUACUCCGCAUGUCGGGGCACCGGCCGGACAGCUAGAAACGCAGCCAAGAACUCAGUAUCAUCUGGAGCAUUAUCAAG